UAGGGAAUUUUGCGCAAUGGGCGAAAGCCUGACGCAGCAACGCCGCGUGAUUGAUGAAGCCCUUCGGGGUGUAAAGAUCUGUCAGCAGGGAAGAAAAAUGACUGUACCUGCAGAGGAAGCACCGGCUAACUCCGUGCCAGCAGCCGCGGUAAUACGGGGGGUGCAAGCGUUGUCCGGAAUCAUUGGGCGUAAAGAGUUCGUAGGUGGUAUGUUAAGUCUGGUGUUAAAGGCGGAAGCUCAACUUCCGUAGGGCACCGGAUACUGGCAAACUUGAAUGCGGUAGAGGUAAAGGGAAUUCCUGGUGUAGCGGUGAAAUGCGUAGAUAUCAGGAGGAACAUCGGUGGCGUAAGCGCUUUACUGGGCCGUAAUUGACACUGAGGAACGAAAGCCGGGGUAGCAAAUGGG
rnacentral:rRNA from 1 species